UACGAAGGGGGCUAGCGUUGCUCGGAAUCACUGGGCGUAAAGGGUGCGUAGGCGGGUCUUUUAAGUCAGGGGUGAAAUCCUGGAGCUCAACUCCAGAACUGCCUUUGAUACUGAAGAUCUUGAGUUCGGGAGAGGUGAGUGGAACUGCGAGUGUAGAGGUGAAAUUCGUAGAUAUUCGCAAGAACACCAGUGGCGAAGGCGGCUCACUGGACCGGAACUGACGCUGAGGCGCGAAAGCGUGGGGAGCAAACAGG
rnacentral:rRNA from 1 species